rnacentral:rRNA from 1 species
CCCUUAGAUGUUCUGGGCCGCACGCGCGCUACACUGACGAAAGCAACGAGCUUAUAACCUUGGCCGAAAGGUCUGGGUAAUCUCCAAACUUCGUCGUGAUGGGGAUAGAUUAUUGCAAUUAUUAAUCUUCAACGAGGAAUGCCUAGUAAACGCAAGUCAUCAGCUUGCAUUGAUUACGUCCCUGCCCUUUGUACACACCGCCCGUCGCAGCUACUGAUUGAAUAUAUCGGUGAAAUAUUGGGACCGUGAUGAACGAAGCUUCAUUGCUUCUAUCAUUAUGGGAACUUUCUUAAACCUAUCUAUUUAGAAGAAGCUGAAGUCGUAACA